rnacentral:misc_RNA from 1 species
AAGUCGUAACAAGGUCUCCGUUGGUGAACCAGCGGAGGGAUCAUUAUCGAGUUGCAAAAACUCCAACCCGUGUGAACAUACCUCAGUCGUUGCUUCGGCGGUCGAGGGCCGGAAGGCCCGAAGCCGCCGGAGGUUCCAAACUCGUUGUUUUUAGUGUAUCUCUGAGCCACAAAACAAUAAUCAAAACUUUCAACAACGGAUCUCUUGGUUCUG